CUAAAAAAAACAUUUCCUCCUCCUUUUCACUCUCUCAACCACUCUCUCUCGCCACCUCCCACUUUCUCGAUCGAAACCCGACGACCACCGUACAUCGGUGGUUCUCCUCCUUCCCGACCACCAUCCACGGUGGUCCGAUGACCUUAACCGAACCUAAAACUCACCCACAAUCUUCACUUUAUUCUUAUGGACCCUGAUUUGGGAUCUAAAACACUAAACCGAGACUCUAAACGGCUCAAAAAUUUCCCCGACCCUUCAACUAAGCUCUUUCUGGUGACCCAGGACUAUGGUAGCUCUCAACUAGGCUCUAACGCUCACAUCGGUCCCUUAACACCACAUGUAAAACUCCUAAGGGUAUUCUCUUUUACCGAUUCCUUUUCCGAUGAUUAGUUCCGACGAUGAAACCCCAAACAGCUAUGAGACAAAGUCAAAGAGACCUUAUCGGCUCUCAUACAACUCAGACAGACAUGGCAGCAGCUGUGGAUGAGCUGGGAUCAGUGCAGGAACGUUAACCGCAUAUUCAGGGGUUGUUUUGCUCCUCUUUCCUUUUUUUUAAUGAUUUUUUGGUAAUAAUAAUAAUAAUAAAUAUUUUGGGAUAAAAAUGUUGAGUACACUGCUAAACCUUCAGUAUCAUAUACAACUACAAAAUCGUCUAAUCACUAGGAUCACUGAAUGUUAGUGUUAUAAAUUUUCCUUGAAUCCUUUUUUUUUCCCCACUUGGAAUAACAUGAAAAAUGCAGAAAAAUACCGUUCUAAGCAGUCAAUGGGCAAGAUAAUACUGAAA